GGUGGCUCAGUGGUAGAGUGCUUGCCUUGCAUGCACGAGGCCCUGGGUUCAAUUCCUCAGCACCA
rfam:Dipodomys ordii contig_18329, whole genome shotgun sequence.